ensembl:lncRNA
CAUAACUUUAAUAAUUCAAACAAAUGAGUUAUAUAAACAUUCAGCUGUACACAUGUUUGUUUCUACUGUAAAUUCUAAAAUGGGAGUCUAUCGGGAUUGACUCGCUUUAGCCCACCUUAAGGGGCCAUUUGAGAAACUGCAGAUUUUGGUCCUUGUGUCUUGGCUUCAUUUUUUACCUCCAGAGUUUGUUGCUUGGGUGCAUAUUCAUAACAUAGCAAGAUAAAGCUCAAACAUUAAUGGACACUUUCCGCCAUUUGUUUUUUUGUUGAAUGGUACAGGUUGAAGAACAGCCAUUUGCAGAAUCCAGGAUUUACAAGUAUGUUUGACAUACAUUUUAUAGAUUUGUAUGAAUAAUCAAAAAUAUAUCAUGUUGUCCAGAAGUGUUCAAUGUGUGUUUCCAUCAUUUUUUGGGAUGUUGCAAACAAUAACAUCAACAUUUUUUUUCAACAGCUCCCAAACUGUAAAUAUUCUCAUGUACAGAGCCAUGGAAUCUCAGAUGCCCGAUGAGAUCAGCGAGCAGGCUGAAUCAACACAAGAAGAAAGGAAUCAAGUAGAAAUGGACACUAAGGAUGAAAAGAGUAGGAACAUCAUGCAGGAGGCUGACAAUGAGAUACAGACAAAAACAGUUGUUCAGCCAGACAGGCUCCAUCAUGGCCUGAUUAAUCAGGGAGCCACAUGUUACCUCAACAGUGUCCUGCAAGUUCUCUUCAUGACAGCUGAGUUCCACGACAGGUUUGACACAGCUGCUUUUGUUUGUAAUAAGGACAACAAAAUUAUUGUAAGUACAAUAUUUUAUAAAAUACUAACAGACAACUCUGGACCAGGCUAUAAUGUAUCCUGGCUACUAAAAAUCAGUUGUUUGUCUAGUGCAGAUGAGACAAUGUCAAAACUCCAAGUUUGACACACUUAUUUUCUAGAAGUUCUUUAUCUAUUUCAAGCAAGAGUCACUCUUUAGCAUCACAUAGAUGAUGACUGAAAGCAAAGCAGUUUCUCCUCAUUCUUCAUAGUAGCAGAAAUCAAUACACACAAUGCAGCAAUGACAAGGUUGCAUGUGAACUCACUUAAGAUAACACUCCCACUAUCUACGCAUCCACCACAGGAUAAACAUAAAUCUAACAUACACGUACAUUCACAAGUUUUCAUGUCAUACAUCAACCAUUGUCAGAAUACGCAUACACUCGAGAGGUUACAAACACACUGCUCAGGAUGAAGUCCUUAACUGAGUUCCUAUCUAUGUUACAGUCCUUUAUGUCACAUGCUCUGCAACCAUAUAACUGUCACAAGACAGAAACCUUGCAGGAGGUCCACAUACACAAGUGUUUACCCCAUGCACAUAUUAUUGUUGCAUCUAUAUUUGUUAGGUUUCGUAUGCAAGAAACAAAAUAUCCAAAUUAAAAAAGGAUGUUGGAGAAUUUACCUUAGAAAUGUUAAUUAUUUGGGUGCAUCUGGGUGUUUCAGACCCACAAAUAUCAAUCAUUGAGCAUUUUAAUAAAAGCAUUAAACUGUCACUAUUCACUGAGAAACUAUUGUCUACCUAAAGGUUGGAUCAACAAUCACAAGCAGAUCUUCAACUGAGAAAAAUCUUUGAAGACCUGACUAAAAAAACAUGUGAAACAGAAAACAUCACAACAACAUUUGGGAUUGGAAAUGGUAAGCUGGGAAAUAUUGAGAAUCUUCAAUGAAAUCAAUAUAUUAGAUUCAAUUUAAUGGAUCAUUUUGCAGUUCAUAAACCAGGUGAUGCAGCUGAAUGUCUGGAAAUGAUUUUACAUAAGGUCAGCCCACAGGCCUCUGAGGUGAGCAGUCAAAAAAAAAUACUUUGUUAUUGUGAAGAGACAAAUAAGAAUGAUGUGUGAUAAUAUACAUUGGAAUGCAAAGGUCUUCAAGGGAGAGGUGACUCACGUAACAAAAUGCUCAGAAGGCCACAUCAUCAAUGAAGAGACUAAUCCAUUCUGGACUCUCCCUCUGUCUCUGAGAGAUAGUUCUGAUACAACCUACAGUGUGGUGAGCAGACAAAGAUCAGAGUUCUUUCCAGUGUUUUAAUGUGAUGUGAAUAUUCUGAUCUAAACUGGAAUACAUACAACACUUUUAUCUUCACAGCAAAACAGCUUUGAAUGGAAUUUCCAAACUAAAAUACAUAAAGGGGGUAACAUGGUGCACUGCAAUAAAUGUAACAAGGAAACAGAAGCAACAAGUGUGAGUUCUGAUCUUAAAUAAAACCACAAACUGUAAUCAGGUCAAAUUAUGUACUGAUCGAUACUAAGAUUAAAAGAUAUAGUGUUUGAUAAUGUUUCUUGUGUCAUUUAGAAAAGUGAGAUGGUGGAAGCUCCUCAGAUUCUGAUUCUACUCCUCAAGAGAUUCAGCACAAAGUCACUUGUUGAAACCCACCACUGUGUGGAAGUGCCACCUGAAUUACAGUUAAAGGCAGGGAACCUUGUUAUUCAUUACAUGUGAUUUAUAUCUGAAUGGUGUUUCUUUUAGUUGCUUUGAAAAUCUUUUCAUUUAUCUGACUGUGUUCUUCAUUGUAGAAAA